GAUGAACGCUGGCGGCGUGCCUAACACAUGCAAGUCGAACGAGAAGCUAACUUCUGAUUCCUUCGGGGAGAUGAAGUUGGUAGAAGGUGGCGAACGGGUGAGUAACGCGUGGGUAAUCUACCCUGUUAGUGGGGGAUAACCCUCCGAAAGGAGGGCUAAUACCGCAUAAGGUCUUCACCUCUUAAGAAGUAAAGAUCAAAGAUGGCCUCUAUACUAUGCUAUCGCUUCAGGAUGAGCCCGCGUCCUAUUAGUUAGUUGGUGGGGUAAUGGCCUACCAAGACCACAAUGGGUAGCCGGUCUGAGAGGAUGUACGGCCACACUGGAACUGAGAUACGGCCCAGACUCCUACGGGAGGCAGCAGUGGGGAAUAUUGCGCAAUGGGGGAAACCCUGACGCAGCGACGCCGCGUGGAUGAUGAAGGCCUUUGGGUUGUAAAAUCCUGUUCUGGGGGAAGAAACCUUAAGGGUCCAAUAAACCUUUAAGCUGACGGUACC
rnacentral:rRNA from 1 species